UAUCUGGCCCAUGAAUAUGCUGGUUAUCUUAGCUUAGCAUAAAGACUGGGAACAGGGGGGAACAGCUAGUGUGGCUCAAAAAAAUACUCCAGCCUGUACCUCUAAAGCUCACUAAUAAAUGUGAUCUCUAUUAUUUGUUUAGUCUGUAAAAAGCUGUGCCAGACUAUUUCUAUUUCUAGUCCUAGAGUCCUGUUGUAACUUUGAGGUUGCCAGGCAACAAGAAGAGGGGAUAAAACCACAAAUUGUGUUUUUUACACUUCAGUUUUUUUUAAGCAAAAAUUACAUAAAAUGUUAGUGAGCGUGUUAUGUUAUUGUGAGUAGAAAAAGCAGCAGAUAGAACUUUUACUAACAUGUAGGUAAAGUAAUGUUGACAUGAGCUGUAAGCAAAGUGUUACAGAUAUCAAACGUGUUUAACACAGAUGAGACCAAACUCUCUUACACUAUUCCAAAACAGCGGGGGCUGACCUUCUCCCAGCAGGGUCGCUACAAAACCUGCCAAACAUGUGUACUGACAAUUUGACUUGAACCAGUCUUGUUUGUUGGUUGGCGUUAAGCUGAAGCUUACUCCAGACCUACAUUAUAGGCAAUAGUGUGUUGUGUUGGUGGGAGUCUUGUUGUGUAUAUGCGUGUGCAUUUUCAUGUAAGUAUUUGUCAGUACCUACCGCUGUGUAGCCACAUAGUCAAUAUGUGUUUGAGUGCAUGCAAACACAUAGUGGCACUUUUUUUGCUGUGUCAUAGGCUCUGUGUGCAUUUGUGUUUACUUGUGCAUCAAUGUAGACAAAAAAGGACCCUGUCCAAUUAUUUCUGCAAAUUUGUAUAAGUAAUCAUACUGUGUGUGUGUGUGUGUGUGUGUGUGUGUGUGUGUGUGUGUGUGUGUGUGUGUGUGUUUUGUGUGUUGUGUUUGUAUGGAAGUGUGUUUAUACUGAUUACAACACUUUUAACAGGCCUGGACCUGUGCAAUCAGUGCAGAUUUUCUGUAUGACUCUGUGUGUAUGUGUGUGUAUGUGUGUGUGUGUGUGUGUGCAUGAGUCAGCGGCUGGAGGUGGGGUGUAGGUGCUGAGAGACAACUAAUCCUCGAGUACAGACAUAUGCCGGGCUGGAGCAUCGCCAAGGACAAAGUAAUGUUGCUGUUUUCCCAGACCUCAGCAAUUACUUUGACCACCUCAGCUCCUCUGUUCCUGAGCUACACGUCACAGAGAGAAGACCAGAUCACUGCGCUUCACCUGCUGUUCCCAGCAUUCCUUGCUUAGCUGCUGUAAUCCUGGGGGCUAUGGAUAAAAUAAACAC